rnacentral:rRNA from 1 species
UACGUAGGGGGCAAGCGUUAUCCGGAAUUACUGGGUGUAAAGGGAGCGCAGACGGCAGUGCAAGUCUGGAGUGAAAGCCCGUGGCUUAACUACGGGACUGCUCUGGAAACUGUGCAGCUAGAGUGCAGGAGAGGCAGGCGGAAUUCCUAGUGUAGCGGUGAAAUGCGUAGAUAUUAGGAGGAACACCGGUGGCGAAGGCGGCCUGCUGGACUGUAACUGACGUUGAGGCUCGAAAGCGUGGGGAGCAAACAGG